rnacentral:rRNA from 1 species
GCAUGGAUUAGGCAUGCAAGUCGAGCGAACCCGCAAGGGUUAGCGGCAAAAGGGUGAGUAACACGUAAGUAAUUUUCCUUCAAGACGGGGAUAGCAUUGUGAAAGCAAUGGUAAUACCCGAUGUCAUGAGAAGUCUGCAUGGACAUUUCAUUAAAGACGGGGACCGAAAGGCCUGUCGCUUGGAGAUGAGCUUGCGUACCAUCAGCUAAUUGGUAGGGUAAUGGCCUACCAAGGCUAAGACGGUUAGCUGGUCUGAGAGGACGACCAGCCACAUUGGGACUGAGACACUGCCCAGACUCCUACGGGAGGCUGCAGUCGAGGAUAUUUAGCAAUGGACGAAGUCUGACUAUGCGACGCCGCGUGCAGGAUGAAGGUCUUCGGAUUGUAAACUGCUUUUGUUAGGGGAGAAACCUGUGGCGUUAACAGCGCUACAGCUGACGGUACCUGACGAAUAAGCCACGGCAAACCCUGUGCCAGCAGCCGCGGUAAUACAGGGGUGGCAAGCGUUACUCGGAAUUAUUGGGUGUAAAGGGCAGGUAGGUGGUCUAGCAAGUGAGAGGUGAAAUCCCACGGUUCAAUCGUGGAACUGCCUUUCAAACUGCUGGACUUGUGAGUGUUAGGGGAGAAUGGAAUUCCCUGUGUAAGGGUGAAAUCUGUAGACAUCGGGAAGAACACCAACAGCGAAGGCAAUUCUCUGGGACAUUUCUGACACUGAACUGCGAAAGCUAGGGGAGCAAACAGAAUUAGAUACUCUGGUAGUCCUAGCCGUAAACGAUGAAUACUAGGUGUUGGCCCUUUCGGGGGUCAGUGCCGAAGCUAACGCAUUAAGUAUUCCACCUGGGGACUACGAUCGCAAGGUUAAAACUCAAAGGAAUUGACGGGGGCUCACACAAGCGGUG